rnacentral:rRNA from 1 species
CCCUUAGAUGUUCUGGGCGGCCCGCGCACUACACUGGCACUCUCAAUCAGAGCCUGGAUCUAACACUUUGGGGUAUUCUAUGAAGUGGUGUCGUGACUGGGAUUAACCCUUGCAAUUAUUGGUUACGAACGAGGAAUUCCUUGUAAUCGCGGUUUAUCAGCCCGCGUUGAAUGCGUCCCUGCCCUUUGUACACACCGCCCGUCGCUACUACCGAUUGAAUGGCUUAGUGAGGCUUCCGGAUUGGUUUAGAGAAGGGGGCAACUCCAUCUUGGAACCGAGAAGCUAGUCAAACUUGGUCAUUUAGAGGAAGUAAAAGUCGUAACA